rnacentral:rRNA from 1 species
CCUACGGGGGGCAGCAGUGGGGAAUAUUGGACAAUGGGAGGAACCCUGAUCCAGCCAUGCCGCGUGUGUGAAGAAGGCCCUCGGGUUGUAAAGCACUUUCAGUGAGGAAGAACGCCUGGUGGUUAAUACCCAUCAGGAAAGACAUCACUCACAGAAGAAGCACCGGCUAACUCCGUGCCAGCAGCCGCGGUAAUACGGAGGGUGCGAGCGUUAAUCGGAAUUACUGGGCGUAAAGCGCGCGUAGGUGGCUUGAUAAGCCGGUUGUGAAAGCCCCGGGCUCAACCUGGGAACGGCAUCCGGAACUGUCAAGCUAGAGUGCAGGAGAGGAAGGUAGAAUUCCCGGUGUAGCGGUGAAAUGCGUAGAGAUCGGGAGGAAUACCAGUGGCGAAGGCGGCCUUCUGGACUGACACUGACACUGAGGUGCGAAAGCGUGGGUAGCAAACAGGAUUAGAUACCCUGGUAGUC